rnacentral:rRNA from 1 species
UACGAAGGAUCCAAGCGUUAUCCGGAUUUAUUGGGUUUAAAGGGUGCGUAGGCGGCCUAUUAAGUCAGUGGUGAAAGCCUGAUGCUCAACAUCAGAACUGCCAUUGAUACUGAUGGGCUUGAAUACACUUGAGGAGGGCGGAAUGUGUCAUGUAGCGGUGAAAUGCUUAGAUAUGACACAGAACACCGAUUGCGAAGGCAGCUCUCUAAGGUGUUAUUGACGCUGAGGCACUAAAGCGUGGGGAGCAAACAGG